AUUUGGUUUCCUCUCCAGAAAUGUAUGCAGCUCCCACCUUGCUACAAUUCUGUGAGCAAGUGGGACUUGCAUAACAGCAACAGCCUUUUGGGGAAAAAGGCAUUGUUUGGAGGAUGGCACAGAAUGGGCAGCAAAGAACAACAGAGGCAAGCUAUGUUUGAGAUUUCCAAAAGAAGUUACGAAGUGCCCAGCUGAUGUGAUGCGAGGCUUUAUCAAAGAUGCUGCCUGCCUCAUGGUAACUUUGUGCUAUUCUGCAAGAAGGUGCUUUGGUUGUGAGCCUGUAGGGGACUCAUUUUGGGGGAGGGGAGUCUCCUUGUUUAUGAAGCCUGUGAACUAUAGGAUCUGCUCAGUGUAGAUGAUUUGGCUCACAGUUCCUCUCAUAUUAAUUAUUAAAAAUCCUUACAAUCUCUUUUACUAUUGUCAUAAUUUGUGCCCAAACCUUUAUUGCUAUUCCCAAUUUUGUACGCUACUAAGUAAAAACUAGAAGUUCAGAAAUCUUGACUAAAUGUCUUUUCCUAGGAGACUCACUAAAUGAUGCCUUUCUACUUGACACAUAAUGGUACUUAUACCAGAUCGAUGUUAUUCUCUCUAUAUGGUAGAGAAUGUGUUUCA